rnacentral:rRNA from 1 species
AGGGUUUGAUUCUGGCUCAGGACGAACGCUGGCGGCGCGCCUAACACAUGCAAGUCGAACGAGAGAGAGGAAGCUUGCUUCCUCAAUCGAGUGGCGAACGGGUGAGUAACGCGUGAGGAACCUGCCUCAAAGAGGGGGACAACAGUUGGAAACGACUGCUAAUACCGCAUAAGCCCACGACCCGGCAUCGGGUUGAGGGAAAAGGAGCAAUCCGCUUUGAGAUGGCCUCGCGUCCGAUUAGCUGGUUGGUGAGGUAAUGGCCCACCAAGGCGACGAUCGGUAGCCGGACUGAGAGGUUGAACGGCCACAUUGGGACUGAGAUACGGCCCAG